GUAUUUCGGCCUUGCAAGUAAUAUUUAACCAUUAGAGGAAACAGAAAACAGGAAAAAGAAAGGCACGAUUGACUCUAAUUUCAUCGCAUUUUAAUUCCAGGAACUCUGCUGUACAACUUCUUCACUUAGAACCCUAACUGCUAGAACAACCAUCAUUUGAGACAUUAUCAGAUACCAUGGAAGAGACACGGUGAGUGUGUUGACUAGCUCCCUGACAUUAACAACUGCCACCUGCACUAACAAAUGAUAGAUUACAACGUUGGUCAUAAAUAACCCCCCUCCUUGAAUCCAUGACCUUGCAAUGCAGCUUUGUAAGUCUCCAUUAAGAGUAAGGUCUUGCUCCACUACUUGAACUGGGCUGGUUUCGAGACUUGUCUUGCCUCUGGGCACAGUAGCAGAUGUGAUAUAAUCAGUCUUGGAAGGUGGCUGUCAUUAAAAUUUGUCCUUUCUUCUGUUCCUACAUCAUGCCGCAUCUAUUCUCCCAGAUGAUGAGAAUCGUGUAGCUCACUCGCUCCAGUUGCCGCAAGGGACACCCAGCAACACCACCGCACCUUUGGGUGAGCCUGUGUGAGAGCUGACCAUGGACUGAAUCCCCUGAAACCUUGAGCCAUACGGAGCUUCUCUUCCUUUACGUUGUGAGUGUCUGGCACUGCGCUCCAGCGGCAGGAAAGCUGAGUGAUGCAGCCGUGUCCCGCACAUGUGCUUUCUCUCGGCAUAGACAACACUCAGUGAACAAGAUACUUGCUUCAACAUCUACAUCUUCAUCCCAGCAACAGCUCUUAAA